CACGCGGUAAACGAUGAAUGCUAGGUGUAGGAGGUAUCGACCCCUUCUGUGCCGCAGUAAACACAAUAAGCAUUCCGCCUGGGGAGUACGGCCGCAAGGUUGAAACUCAAAGGAAUUGAC
rnacentral:rRNA from 1 species